GACGAACGCUGGCGGCGUGCCUAAUACAUGCAAGUCGAACGCAGUGGGUACGGGGGCGUACCACGUGGGUAACCUCCCAUCAGAGGGGAUAAACCUUGGAAACAGGUGCUAAACCGAUACUGAUGGAUGUACCCGCUGGGCAUUAGCUAGUUGGUGAGGUAACGGCUCACCAAGUCCACGAUGCAUAGCGGACCUGAGAGGGGGAUCGGCCACACUGGGACUGAGACACGGCCCAGACUCCUACGGGAGGCAGCAGUAGGGAAUCUUGGGCAAUGGACGAAAGUCUGACCGAGCAACGCCGCGUGAGUGAAGAAGGUUUUCGGAUCGUAAAACUCUGUGGUUAGAGAGGCGGUAUCUAACCAGAAAGCCACGGCUAACUACGUGCCAGCAGCCGCGGUAAUUC
rnacentral:rRNA from 1 species